rnacentral:rRNA from 1 species
UACGUAGGUCCCGAGCGUUGUCCGGAUUUAUUGGGCGUAAAGCGAGCGCAGGUGGUUUAUUAAGUCUGAUGUGAAAGCCCACGGCUUAACCGUGGAGGGUCAUUGGAAACUGGUUGACUUGAGUGCAGAAGAGGGAAGUGGAAUUCCAUGUGUAGCGGUGAAAUGCGUAGAGAUAUGGAGGAACACCAGUGGCGAAGGCGGCUUCCUGGUCUGCAACUGACACUGAGGCGCGAAAGCGUGGGGAGCAAACAGG